UACGUAGGGGGCGAGCGUUGUCCGGAAUUAUUGGGCGUAAAGAGCGUGUAGGCGGCCAGGCAGGUCUGUUGUGAAAACUCAGGGCUUAACCCUGAGCUUGCAGUGGGUACGGGCAGACUAGAGUGCGGUAGGGGAGACUGGAAUUCCUGGUGUAGCGGUGAAAUGCGCAGAUAUCAGGAGGAACACCGGUGGCGAAGGCGGGUCUCUGGGCCGUAGCUGACGCUGAGGAGCGAAAGCAUGGGGAGCGAACAGG
rnacentral:rRNA from 1 species